UACAGAGGUCUCAAGCGUUGUUCGGAUUCAUUGGGCGUAAAGGGCGCGUAGGCGGCGGGGUAAGUCGGGUGUGAAAUCUCAGAGCUCAACUCUGAAACUGCACUCGAUACUGCUCUGCUUGAGGACUGGAGAGGAGACUGGAAUUCACGGUGUAGCAGUGAAAUGCGUAGAUAUCGUGAGGAAGACCAGUGGCGAAGGCGGUUCUCUGGGCCUUACCUGACGCUGAGGAGCGAAAGCGUGGGGGAGCGAACAGG
rnacentral:rRNA from 1 species